rnacentral:rRNA from 1 species
AACGAACGCUGGCGGCAUGCCUAACACAUGCAAGUCGAACGAGACCUUCGGGUCUAGUGGCGCACGGGUGCGUAACGCGUGGGAACCUGCCCUUAGGUUCGGAAUAACUCCCCGAAAGGGGUGCUAAUACCGGAUAAUGUCUUCGGACCAAAGAUUUAUCGCCUUUGGAUGGGCCCGCGUUGGAUUAGCUAGUUGGUAGGGUAAAAGCCUACCAAGGCGACGAUCCAUAGCUGGUCUGAGAGGAUGAUCAGCCACACUGGGGCUGAGACACGGCCCAGACUCCUACGGGAAGCAGCAGUGGGGAAUAUUGGACAGUGGGCGAAAGCCUGAUCCAGCAAUGCCGCGUGAGUGAUGAAGGCCUUAGGGUUGUAAAGCUCUUUUACCCGGGAUGAUAAUGACAGUACCGGGAGAAUAAGCUCCGGCUAACUCCGUG